rnacentral:lncRNA from 1 species
AGAGGAAGGCGGCCAGCAUGUCAAGGUGCCAUCUCAUCAGAAGGAGCUGAAAUGUCUCUGAAGAGACUCGGUCACUAUCUUCAGAAGUCCAAGGUCUUCUCAGACUGUCCUCUCGUGCCACGCACAGCUGCGGUGCCCAGUUCUCUGCAGACUUCAACCAACUCCGUGGAGAGGCAGGCUGGCCAGGGCUUCGCUGCAGGCCUGCAUCACGGGUCCCUUGCUUCCUGCUUGUGCUUCUCCGAAGCUGUGUUGGAUGCCAGGAGAACCCACCUGGCACUCACGCCUGUGUAACCUGGAAUGGUGGGAGAGUGAAAGCUCCAUGAGACACCCUUGACCAAAGGGGGAUGGGAUUGAUGGAUAAAUGCUUCGCCUUUUCUUUCUCUGAGCAGAAAGGCCUGAGACACAUUUCAUAAGGCUCCUCAGGAGGUCCUGCGGGAUCCACCUGUUGUUGUAGCAGUGGUCAUCUUGAUAAUGUAAGCUUUUACUGCUCUCCCUCCUUCCCUGUUCACUCUCUCUGUCCUUCACUCUUGCCCCCUGGCAUCACACCCCCAAAUGACUAUUCACACAUGGCCUUGGUCUUAGGCUCUGCUUUGGGGGAAACUAAAGCUAACAUCAAUUAACAUCAAUUGUAAUAGGUGAUAGGAAUACGGUAUUGAUCAAAACAAGUGUGGCCUCUGCCUUCUUGGGGCUUGUAGUCCAUGAUCCGUGUUGCUAUGAAAGUCUCUAUUUCUAAAUCAUUAGUGAGGACAAAGAGAAACAUAUGUGCUUGGUUGGUGCAUAGUCAUAGGGUUUUUGAUACUUAUAAAGUUUUUCAGAGGGACCUCCAUCAAGUAAUCUUAUUUGAAAUUCUACAUUAUAAACUGGCAUUGCCAUUUGCAGUUCGUCAUUGAAGACUCUGAGUCACAGAGAAGUGAACCAACUUGUUGAAAACUGUGUUCAUUUGGUAUGUAAUAUGAUUUAAGAAAUUGGGAAAAAUGUUUUCUAGAGUCCUUUUCAGUGUGAAGGGUCUCAUGUGAGCUUUGUGAGUUGUUUUAAAUUCUUUCUUUACAUACUUUUUUUAAGGGAUAUUUUCCUAUAUACCGUUAUUUGAUACUAAGGUGUUAGUUUGGAAGUUUUUCUUUGGCAUUCAAUGGCAUGUUAUUAAGUUUCUCAUAAAAUAUGACAAUUUUAUAAUUUGAUUUUUUGAUAUGUAAUAUAUUCACAUGACUCAAGCUUCCCACUCCUGCCCUCCAUCCCCCCAGUUCACAUUUUCCCCAUGAGGUAACCAGUUAUUAGUUUCUUAUUUAUUCUUCCAGAGGAUUUUUAUGCAUAUUCAAGUCAAUA